UACGUAGGUGGAUAAUUAAGUCAGAGGUGAAAUCCUGCAGCUCAACUGUAGAAUUGCCUUUGAUACUGGUUAUCUUGAGUCAUUAUGAAGUGGUUAGAAUGUGUAGUGUAGCGGUGAAAUGCAUAGAUAUUACACAGAAUACCGAUCGCGAAGGCAGAUCACUAAUAAUGUACUGACACUGAGGGACGAAAGCGUGGGGAGCGAACAGGAUUAGAUACCCUGGUAGUCC
rnacentral:rRNA from 1 species